AUUGAACGCUGGCGGCAUGCUUUACACAUGCAAGUCGAACGGUAACAGGCCGCAAGGUGCUGACGAGUGGCGAACGGGUGAGUAAUGCAUCGGAACGUGCCCAGUCGUGGGGGAUAACGCAGCGAAAGCUGCGCUAAUACCGCAUACGAUCUAUGGAUGAAAGCGGGGGACCGAAAGGCCUCGCGCGAUUGGAGCGGCCGAUGUCAGAUUAGGUAGUUGGUGGGGUAAAGGCCCACCAAGGCGACGAUCUGUAGCUGGUCUGAGAGGACGACCAGCCACACUGGAACUGAGACACGGUCCAGACUCCUACGGGAGGCAGCAGUGGGGAAUUUUGGACAAUGGGCGCAAGCCUGAUCCAGCAAUGCCGCGUGCAGGAUGAAGGCCUUCGGGUUGUAAACUGCUUUUGUACGGAACGAAACGGCCCUUUCUAAUACAGGGGGCUAAUGACGGUACCGUAAGAAUAAGCACCGGCUAACUACGUGCCAGCAGCCGCCGUAAGAC
rnacentral:rRNA from 1 species